UUUGAUGGCGGCUGUGCGUAGGGCACCCUUGGGUGCGCCGGCUUUGGAGUCCACCGGUCUACUAACCUGCGUACAGCUGCCACCCUC
rnacentral:antisense_RNA from 1 species